AAAUUGUAGAAUCCAUGGCGGGCAAAGAAACCCUCAUCGCCGGAGAUCGAUCUUCCCCGCCCCCAAGCCUCAUCUUCUCGUCCGCAAGCACCUUCUUGCAUUUCUCUCGCCGAUUCCCUUCUCGAGAUGUAGCAGCCCGAUCGGAGUGCGCUCUAUUAGAUUUAGUCCUCCGAUGAAUGGAUCAACAAUUGAUUACCUCUCCUGCAGAAUCCUGGACGAUGAGCUCGAAAUCGGCGGUGAAGGAGCAGCGGCCGGAAAAGCCUAGGGUAUCUUUGUGGAUAAGUAGUCGAAGAAGAUCAAUGAUGAGCAAAGCGUGGAGGGUUGGCUGUUGUUUCUGUUACCUUGAUGAUGAUCAUCGCUGGGCUCGAAGCUGGAAGGUCAUGUUUCUUGAAAUCCUGGAUUUUUUGGAGUUUUGUUCCCUAGUUUUCUUGAUUUUUUUUGUUCAUAGACAUGAUUAUGGUUGGGCGUGUCCUGACGCUGCUUUAAGAGGUUCUUUCGCUAGGGCAGGCUAACAACCUGGUGAUCGUCAUCACUGUUGUGCAUCAGAUAUGAGGGAUCGGAUUGGGACAGUGAUUGGGGAAAGACGUGUCAUAGGAGCUCUUGAUCAGCACCUUUCACUAGUUCUGUUUGCAGCUCUUGUGGUCACAAGGAGGAAAAAGGAGGAAAGUAUGCCAACUUUUCAAUUUUGGUUAUUACCUCUUCUUGAUGUGUUGUUUUCAUGAAACAUCAGAAAGGAUUGCACACUUUUCCUGCAUUCAUACAUGAAAUUCAUUUGUAGAAUCUUGUGGACAUGCAUUCAUAAGCAUUAUGGGAAGAUUAACUUGCCUUUGGAUUGGUUUAUGUAAUUACCAUUUUUAUGUUUGGGCCCUAUCCAUAAAUUUUUUUAGUCUUCUCAUUUUCUCGUCAUUUAUACAUAAACCUGAACUUGCCUUGGACACAAGCUCUAAUUGUGGAUACUAACUUGCAUUUUCACUAUUCACUACAGUAAGAUGAACAAGAUUUUGGACUUUCUCCCCUCAAAAUAUUAGCCCUUGAUGAUUUAU